UACGUAGGUGGCAAGCGUUAUCCGGAUUUACUGGGUGUAAAGGGCGUGUAGGCGGGACUGCAAGUCAGAUGUGAAAAUUAUGGGCUCAACCAUAACCUGCAUUUGAAACUGUAGUUCUUGAGUGAUGGAGAGGCAGGCGGAAUUCCGUGUGUAGCGGUGAAAUGCGUAGAUAUACGGAGGAACACCAGUGGCGAAGGCGGCCUGCUGGACAUUAACUGACGCUGAGGCGCGAAAGCGUGGGGAGCAAACAGG
rnacentral:rRNA from 1 species